AGAGUUUGAUCAUGGCUCAGAGCGAACGUUAGCGGCGGGCCUAACACAUGCAAGUCGAGCGAGAAAGGAGCUUCGGCUCCGAGUACAGCGGCGGACGGGUGAGUAAUACGUAGGUAACCUGCCCUUCAGUGGGGGACAACGGUCCGAAAGGACCGCUAAUACCGCAUCCGUUUCUCGGGUCCCCGGACUCGAGGAGGAAAGCUGCCUCGAUCGCAAGAUCGGGGUGGCGCUGGAGGAGGGGCCUACGUCGCAUCAGCUAGUUGGUGGGGUAAUGGCCUACCAAGGCGAAGACGCGUAGCUGGUCUGAGAGGAUGAUCAGCCACACUGGGACUGAGACACGGCCCAGACUCCUACGGGAGGCAGCAGUGGGGAAUAUUGGACAAUGGGGGCAACCCUGAUCCAGCUACGCCGCGUGAGUGAUGAAGGCCUUCGGGUCGUAAAGCUCUGUGGGGAGAGACGAACGUCCGGCAUGACCUGUCGGGGUGACGGUAUCUCCUUAGCAAGCACCGGCUAACUUCGUGCCAGCAGCCGCGGUAAUACGAAGGGUGCAAACGUUGCUCGGAAUCAUUGGGCGUAAAGCGCACGUAGGCGGCUUCGCAAGUCGGAUGUGAAAUCCCUCGGCUCAACCGAGGACGUGCAUCCGAAACUGCGAGGCUUGAGUACUGAAGAGGAUCGC
rnacentral:rRNA from 1 species